UACGUAGGUGGCAAGCGUUGUCCGGAUUUACUGGGCGUAAAGGGCGUGCAGGCGGUUUGUUAAGUGCAGGGUGAAAGCUCCCGGCUCAACUGGGAGAGGUCCUUGCAUACUGGCGAACUCGAGGGAGGCAGAGGAAAGUGGAAUUCCCGGUGUAGUGGUGAUAUGCGUAGAUAUCGGGAGGAACACCUGUGGCGAAGGCGGCUUUCUGGGCCUUAACUGACGCUGAGACGCGAAAGCGUGGGGAGCGAACCGG
rnacentral:rRNA from 1 species